GUGGGAGAUCCGCAGCAAAGGAAGGGAAGGGAAGGGAAGGGAAGGGAAGGGAAGGGAAGGGAAGGGAAAAUAAAAGGAAAAGAAAGGAAGAAAAGAAAGGAAAGUAAAGAUAGGAAAGAAAAGACAGGAGGGAAAAAAGGGACGGAAAUGAAAGAAAGGAAGGAAAGUAAAGAUAGGAAAGGAAAGAUAGGAGGGAAAAAAAGGGACGGAAAUGAAAGAAAGGAAGGUAAUAAAAGAAAGGAAAGGAAGGAAGAAUAGAUAGAAAAGGAAAAGAAAAGUAAGGAAGGGAGGAAAAGGAAGGAAAGAAAGGAAAGGAAAGAAGGGAAAAAAAGAGAAAAGGAAAGGAAAUGAAAAGGAAGGAAGGAUCAAAAAGGAAG
ensembl:lncRNA